UAUAUUCAAGUGUAAGAUGCACGAAAGUUUUUGAUACUUUAGGGAAUAGUUUAAAUCUAUUGGAUAUAA
rnacentral:tRNA from 1 species